rnacentral:lncRNA from 1 species
GGUGUGUCACCCUUCACAGAAAGAAGGGCUGGGUGGGAGGAGGGAACGUCACGUGGACCUCGGGAACAUUUUGAGGGAGUUCGGCCCAUUGGGAUCCCGAUCCUUUUUCCUCAGACCUUUCCCCGUACAAAUUCCUCUAAGGUGUCUCCUCAGUCUCCCCAGGAAACCACAGAACUCUAGCUCUAUGGGCUGAACUGCGUCCCCCUACAAAUUCGUACAUUGAAGCCUGCUAAUUUUUAUAUUUUUAAUAGUCAGAGGGUUUUGCCAUGUUGGCCAGGCUGGUCUCAAACUCCUGAUCUCAGAUGAUCCACCUACCUUGGCCUCCCAAACUGCUGGGAUUACAGGCAUGAGCCACUGCAUCUGGCCCACCAGUGAUCUUCUUAAUUUGCAAAUCUGCCAUAUCACUUGCCCAUUCCAAUUUCUACAGUGGCUCCGUACGAGAUAAAACCAAACCUUUCAAAGGUCUUGAAGGCCCAUAGGCACCCACUACCUCUGCCUUUCCUUUCCAGCUUCCCACUCCCCUUGCACUUCAAAAUCCAUCCAUUACAGAACAUGGCCCCAAACCCACUAGCUUUCCCAUGCCUCUGUGCGUAAACUGUUCCCUCUGCCUGAAACAUCUUUCCCUUUCUGCCUGGAAACCCUAUGUAUCCUUCAGGUCUCAGCUCUGUGUCCCUAAGCACACUGAGCCAGGCUUUCCCACAGCCUCCACACUCUGCCCUACGUCAUGGGAAAG